rnacentral:rRNA from 1 species
GAUGAACGCUAGCUACAGGCUUAACACAUGCAAGUCGAGGGGAAACGACAUCGAAAGCUUGCUUUUGGUGGGCGUCGACCGGCGCACGGGUGAGUAACGCGUAUCCAACCUGCCCACCACUUGGGGAUAACCUUGCGAAAGUAAGACUAAUACCCAAUGAUAUCUCUAGACGACAUCUGAAAGGGAUUAAAGAUUUAUCGGUGAUGGAUGGGGAUGCGUCUGAUUAGCUUGUUGGCGGGGUAACGGCCCACCAAGGCAACGAUCAGUAGGGGUUCUGAGAGGAAGGUCCCCCACAUUGGAACUGAGACACGGUCCAAACUCCUACGGGAGGCAGCAGUGAGGAAUAUUGGUCAAUGGGCGAGAGCCUGAACCAGCCAAGUAGCGUGCAGGAUGACGGCCCUAUGGGUUGUAAACUGCUUUUAUAAGGGAUAAAGUGAGAGUCGUGACUCUUUUUGCAUGUACCUUAUGAAUAAGGACCGGCUAAUUCCGUG